AGUAGGUGGGGUAACGGCUCACCUAGGCGACGAUCCCUAGCUGGUCUGAGAGGAUGACCAGCCACACUGGAACUGAGACACGGUCCAGACUCCUACGGGAGGCAGCAGUGGGGAAUAUUGCACAAUGGGCGCAAGCCUGAUGCAGCCAUGCCGCGUGUAUGAAGAAGGCCUUCGGGUUGUAAAGUACUUUCAGCGGGGAGGAAGGGAGUAAAGUUAAUACCUUUGCUCAUUGACGUUACCCGCAGAAGAAGCACCGGCUAACUCCGUGCCAGCAGCCGCGGUAAUACGGGGGGUGCAAGCGUUAAUCGGAAUUACUGGGCGUAAAGCGCACGCAGGCGGUUUGUUAAGUCAGAUGUGAAAUCCCCGGGCUCAACCUGGGAACUGCAUCUGAUACUGGCAAGCUUGAGUCUCGUAGAGGGGGGUAGAAUUCCAGGUGUAGCGGUGAAAUGCGUAGAGAUCUGGAGGAAUACCGGUGGCGAAGGCGGCCCCCUGGACGAAGACUGACGCUCAGGUGCGAAAGCGUGGGGAGCAAACAGGAUUAGAUACCCUGGUAGUCCACGCCGUAAACGAUGUCGACUUGGAGGUUGCGCCCUUGAGGCGUGGCUUCCGGAGCUAACGCGUUAAGUCGACCGCCUGGGGAGUACGGCCGCAAGGUUAAAACUCAAAUGAAUUGACGGGGGCCCGCACAAGCGGUGGAGCAUGUGGUUUAAUUCGAUGCAACGCGAAGAACCUUACCUGGUCUUGACAUCCACGGAAGUUUUCAGAGAUGAGAAUGUGCCUUCGGGAACCGUGAGACAGGUGCUGCAUGGCUGUCGUCAGCUCGUGUUGUGAAAUGUUGGGUUAAGUCCCGCAACGAGCGCAACCCUUAUCCUUUGUUGCCAGCGGUCCGGCCGGGAACUCAAAGGAGACUGCCAGUGAUAAACUGGAGGAAGGUGGGGAUGACGUCAA
rnacentral:rRNA from 1 species